GAAAGGUAACACAGCAACAAAAAAAAACCCUCGCUGUCAGACGCGCUUCUUCUUCCUCAGCCCCACUACCGGGUAAUACUAUGGCAACGGAAUUACAAUCACAAAUCAGCAAAUAUUUAACAGUAAAUAGCUUGAUU